GAAAAGAAACCAACAGGGAUUGCCCUAGUAACGGCGAGUGAAGCGGCAACAGCUCAAAUUUGAAAUCUGGCUUCGGCCCGAGUUGUAAUUUGCAGAGGAUGUUUCUGGCGCGGUGCCUUCCGAGUUCCCUGGAACGGGACGCCACAGAGGGUGAGAGCCCCGUAUGGUCGGACACCAAGCCUGUGUGAAACUCCUUCGACGAGUCGAGUAGUUUGGGAAUGCUGCUCAAAAUGGGAGGUAAAUCUCUUCUAAAGCUAAAUACCGGCCAGAGACCGAUAGCGCACAAGUAGAGUGAUCGAAAGAUGAAAAGCACCUUGAAAAGGGGGUUAAACAGUACGUGAAAUUGUUGAAAGGGAAGCGCUUGUGACCAGACUUGCGCCGGGCGGUUCAUCCGGGGUUCUCCCCGGUGCACUCCGCCCGGUUCAGGCCAGCAUCGGUUCUCGUUGGGGGAUAAGAACGGCAGGAACGUGGCCCUCCUCCGGGAGGGUGUUAUAGCCUGCCGUACGAUACCCUGACGGGGACCGAGGUUCGCGCUCCGCAAGGAUGCUGGCGUAAUGGU
rnacentral:rRNA from 1 species